GGGAGCUCAGCCAGUCUGGCAAACAAUCUUCAGAAGAGAGACACAAGGAAAGAACAAAGAAGAUCCAAGUCCACUCAUGGAUUCAGUCCAAAGACGCCAAUGAAAAGCUCAUACAGUCCUUCUGCUGGGACACAUGAACAUCUUCAUCAGAGGCUGAAGCAUCACUGCACACUUGGAGUGAACAGCAGUCAGAGAGUUUGAGACGAGAGAUUAAGGACAAUCAGAAACACUGCAGACAAGACCCACAAUAUAUGCAGCGGACAUGUCUGUUAACUCAACGUCCAACUAUCUCUACAUCUGUCCCACCAUUAAGGUCAGCCUGUACAUAUCCUAUAUCAUUACUGCACUGAGGACCAUCCUCCUCCUCCCUCUCUCCACCUUCAUCCUCUAUCUGGGUCACCAAAGAUGGAAGCAGCAUCAUUCCUCUAAAACAGUGACUCACUCUGACAUCUUCACCUACCAUGUGGCUGCCAUGGAGCUGCUCUGGAUCUUGGGGAGUUUCUUCUUCUAUGGUGGCCUGUACACUAACCAGUUAGUAGUGAUGACUGUAGGGGUGUUUACUUGUUCCAGCACUCUGUUUGGAGAGUUAUACUUUCACGUCUUGACCUGUGUGGAGCGCUACCUGGCUGUGGUUCAUCCCAUCAUCUAUCGGGGGCUGAGAAAUGCUCAUGGGGUCAGAAUCAGAAACAUCUGUAUUGGAUGUGUUUGGCUGCUGAGCUUUGGACUGACCGGGGGUUUGACCAUAAGCUUGCCUAACUACAAUGUGAUCUCAUCUUUGUGCUUUUUGGUUUUCUCCAUAAUCAUCAUAUCAUUCUGCAGCCUCUCAGUUCUCUGUGUUCUGAUUCGUCCAGGUCCAGGGGAAGGGGGCAGGGAAAAGGAGCGAGUUGACCAAUCAAAGCAGAGAGCUUUCUACACCAUCACAGUUAUAUCAGUCACAGUGUGGUUGUGGUUUGUUGGCCUCCUUCUUUCCCUGGCAAUGGAGACAUCACCUCUGUUGAGCCAUCAUCUCGCCUGUGUGUUGCCACUUCUUGUCAUCUGGUUGAACCUUCCCAGCAGUUUGGUGUCUCCUCUGCUGUAUCUGCACAGGGCUGGAAAACUGUCAUGGUGCUUUAGAAACAAGUAGUAAAGCCAAGGAUUGGAUUUAAAUAAAUCAGGCCAGCAAAGUUGGAAAGACUGGAUAAAAGUGAUGAUAAUGUCUAAUGUUCGAAUGGUUGCUAGGUUACAGCUUAUGCACAACUAAGAGAUGGUCAUGAUAUUCUAUGCAGUUAGUUGCUGUGGUGUUUUCUCAGCUUAUCAGAUAGUUGAAUAGCUGCCGGAGCUGCUUGGUUGUUGCCGGGUAAUUGUGAGGUUGAACUAAACUGCGCUGACAGAAUGUAUGAAUGUACAGUCUUGUGAAAAAGAAUUUGUCCAGAAAUCUUCCAUUUUGGCAUAUUUCUCGUACUGACAUGUUUCAGAUCAUCAAAAUAACAUCAUUUGUACUGAAUAUGAUACAGAUACAAUCCACAACCCAUGAUGUUUCAUUCAACCUAAUAAAUGGUUUGGCAGCAACAACUGAAAUUAAAUAUUUGUUCCAGUUUGUGAUCAGCCUUUUACAUCUCAAUGGAGGAAUUCUGGUCCUCUCUUCUCUGCAGAAUAGUUUUAAUUUGGUCACAUUAGAUGGUUUUAGAUCAGGAACUGCCCAUUUAAGGCCUUGCCACAGCAUCUCAGUUGGUCCAGAGUUAGACUCGGCUACUCCAAAACCUUGACUUUGUUCUCUUUCAGCCACUCAGAGGUGGACUUGCUUGUGGUCUUUGGGUCACUAUCUUGCUGCAUAAACCGUUGUGUUGAAGUUCAGGUCAUGAACUGAUGGUGGAUGUUCUCCAGGAGAAUUUUCUAAAAGAGAGCAGAAUUCAUGGCUCCAUCAGUGAUGACAAGUCAUCCUGAUGAAUGCAGUAUGAGCUUUACACUAGAUGGAACAGACCCAUGGCUUUCAAAAAAUUCCACCUUUGACUCAUCAGUCAAUAGAAAGUUAUCCCAAAACUUUUGGAGCUCUUCGAGUUAUGUUUUUGUAAAUACCAAAGGAGCCUUUAUGUUCUCUUUGGUCAGUAGUGGUUUGAUUCUUCCAACUCUCCCAUGGAUCCAUUUCCUCCCAGAGUCUUCCUUAUUGUGGAAUCAUGUAGAUGGACCUUAACUGAGGCCAGUGAGGUCUGCAGAUCUUUAGAUGUUCUUCUGUAUUCUUUUGUGACCUUCUGGAUAUCGAUGCUCUUGGAGAAAUGUUGGUCGUUGGUCCACUCCUUAGAAGGUUCAAACUGUUGCAUGUUUCUCCAUUUGUGGAUAAUGUCUUUCUCUUGUAAACCUCCAGGCUGAUGAAUGUCAAUGAUUUUCAUGAACGUGGCAUCAUGCGCUGCUUUUUGAGACCCUUCAGCUACUUCACAAUGAAGACAGGUUCUAUCUAGUGAUGUUUAGGUUCAACAAGCCUGGCAGUAAUCAUAUGUGAGUGUGGAUGGUUAAUACUGAACCCAUCAGACUAAUGAAUCUGGUCAUUAGGAAGAUUGGUAGCUGAGGGGGCAAAUACUUUUUCACAUAGGGUAAGCUGGACUGGACAGGAUUUUUCUUUCUUUCAAAAAAGAAAUCAUCAUGUAAAAACUGCACUUUGUGUUUUCUUGGGUUGUCGUUGUCUGAUGUUAAAACUAGUUUGAUGAUCUGAAACAUUUACGUUUGACAAAUAUGCAAAAACAGAAGAUUUCUGUAGAAUAGUCUUUCAUGGCACUGUAUGUACCUACCCUACAGCUGUUACUUCUCUCCCAGAAAAUGGUUCUUGAACAGGUUCUACAGGAUUGGUUCCAGUGAUCAAAUGUGCACACAGGUGCAGAUUGUCUGAAAUUGACCUGCAAGUCCUGACACAGGAAAAUGCUUCUUAAGACAAAAAGUUUUGACACUGGAAAAUCAGAUUCUAUUUUCCAGCAAGAAAAAUAUGCAUCUGCAGUUUUCUGGGAAGAUGCUUGAUUUAUGUCACUGCACAGCUGUAAUCAAGACUGCUGUUGUCCCAACAUGUAAAUACUGCUGCAGUAAUAAGUAAAGUUGUAGGCAAGUAGAACAAGGUCCAAGCAAAAUUCAGACACCAUCCCUUGCAGACACAAGACAAUGAAAUCAGCCAAAAGGCUUUAACUGAUGGUUGUUGUUGUGAUCUAGUCUUGGACAGUUUAAAUCUUUCUGCAGAAAAUGGUCUUAAUGAAUUAGUCAUUUUUUAAAAUGUCGUUCUUGAGUGAUGGAUGUUUUAGACACUUUUCUGGUAUGGUGUAAAUUAUCAAGCACAUAUCUCAUGUAUGAGUUUCCUUCAAGCUGCUCUGGGCUUCAUGUACACAGUCUGCAUGAUACUGCUUCAAUUGAAGGUUAUUUGAAUCCUGUCAGAUGUAAUGGAUGGAUAACAUGAAUCACAGCCACUGAUGUGUAAAUAUGUCAAUCCUAAUUAUUCUUCAAGAAGAAGAAACACUUAAAAACUUUUUUUUUUCCAAUUUAUUGUCCCAAUCUGUAGCUUGUCUCUCAGGUGUUAGAAACUGAAUAGGAAUAGCCCAAAUUUGUAGCUGGAUCUAUUUGGAAAAAGAAAGAAAUUUUAUCUGCCUAAAGUCUCCAUAGUGGUGAGAAACUGCUGGGGUGAACCUGCCUUCUGUCC